GGUACAUUACGUCUCCUGAGUUUAGAAGAAAACUGUUCGACGUUGGGGUCUUUGGGAUUACAUUCGCUUGGAAAUCUUGCAUUACAGCGUUGAGGUGGAAGUUGCUUAGGGAGCUUCGACCUGACUUUUGAGGUUCGUGUAUCCUUUCGUGAGGUUUUCGGCAUCGCCAAUCUUCGUUCUUCGCUUUGACGGAAUUUUGGGUAAUCUGCAUCAAGCUACUUUUCAGGAAACCAUAUCUCCCACGAUGCAACGAAAUUACUAUGGUCAGAAUCCCAUUGCUUUAACACUGGAUUACUCAAGGAUCGUUUUUAUGAAUCUCCCCCUGGAGCAAAUUCCUGCGGCUUUAUCUUUCUUCACAGGGUUAUGGAGCAAAAGCGGAUGUUGGUAUGACAGCUUUGUAGUGGUACUGGACUAGUCAUCGUUAAGUGGUACGGUCACCUAUGAGAAUGACUACUUAUAUUUAUAUAAAUAAAGGUGA